GCGGGUAUCGUUUAGUGGUAGGAUGGCUCCUUGCCAUGGAGCAGACGGGAGUUCGAUUCUCCCUACCCGCA
rnacentral:tRNA from 1 species